GGGUUUUUUUCUAAUUCCCAGCUAGACGGAGAGAAUAUAAAGAGCUUUUUGUGAAAGAAAACCAUCAAUUUUGAGUUGAUGUAAUGUUGAGUUACCUGAUAAUAUUAUCAUUUAAAAGAUUUACUUAUGCUUUACCUGUUGAUCAAGCUUUAAAAUAUCUAUUAAUGACACAUAACUCAAUUAUUGUCACAAGAUCAUUCUUUUUGUAUCGAACGUCUCAUGAGGUGAAGGUCGGGAGGGGAGCUAACUGUUACGCGCAAACUAAAAUAACAAUAUAUAUUAUGUCCCAUUAAAACUUAUCGUUGAAACAAAAUUUAGGAGAAAAUACAUAAAAACAAUUUGCAUAUGAUAAACACGACACAUUUCUAGUUUCAGAUAAAAUUCAAUUAUUGUAUUGAUUAUUUACUUUAGUAAUUCAGUAACCUGUAUUUAUCUUCUCUCAACAAAGGGGGCGUGGCAGAUUCAAAGUGAAACUGAAAGUUGAGGAAAACAAAAACGUAAGUAAUGCUCAUUCAAUUCGUUUAUAAACAAAAUAUGUAUAUGACGGUGAAUCAAGUUUGGCACAGAUCUGACAAUGAUUAAAUUUGGAAUAUUGCUUAUGCAUAAUCAGAGAGUACCGUCGAGCCUCCUCAAGUUGCCAACUUGUGGCUAUAGUAUAGGUUUGUAUUUCUGACCGUGAUUUCUCAAUAAUUGUUUAUGUAUUAUUUUUAAUAUCAUGUGUGUUUAUUUCAGUCUAAUCUUCAUAAUUAAACUAUGAUUGGUUUAUUUCAUCUGUCACACAUCUUGUUUAGGUACGAAUUACAUCGCUCUUGCAUAACAUUUUUUCCAUGAUAAGUUAUGUAACUCUGAACAUGCUGAACUAGGAAACCCUCCCCCUAUUUAGGUGUCGACCUAAAUGUUAAAUUAUUAAUAGAGAUCGAAGCUUGCUUCACUAUUUGGAUAGAUAAUGUGUAUUGUUUAUUUUAGAUGUAUGCCAUUCUAUCCUCUUUUUUUUCGUUAUCACAAAUGAUUGUAAAGUUAGCGUUGUAUCAAUCUAUUUCAAAGUUAUGCAAGUAGACAUACAUUAGCACAAUAUCAGGUACCAUAUGGUAACAGAUGGACUUGUAGAUAAUAACCUCAUAUCUAAUGGGUCUAUCGUCCUGAACAUGCAUGUAACAUUUGCCACUGGAGGUUAAGCAAUCAACAAUCAAUAUAAUGGGUCUACGAAGUCAAGGAUAGGUUGCAAAACGAGAUCAUUUAAAUGAAAAAAUAUUAACUGUUUUCAAGUAAGAACCAAUUUAGAGACAUUCAAGUAGGAACCUUAUUUUAUUUCUCCUCCAUUAUAACGUCAGAAUUUUAAAUUGACCCAGGAUAGAAUCUUUCAAAAGUACAUGUAUUUGUGUAUAAAUAUUUUAUAAUAAUAUUUAAAUAUCAAAAUUAGUAGUUGUGGUAUGAUUGCCAAUGAGACAAAUCGUCACUAGAGACCAAAUGACACAGAAAUUGACAACUAUAGGUCAUAAAAUAUAUAUAAAUUAUAUCUACAAUAUAUAUCAAGGUAAAUGUCUUGAAUGUAGGUGAUACAUCAAAUAGCUGUACUUAAAUAUAUUAAUAUUUUGACACAGUGAGUCUGAUAAUAUCAUAAAAACACUAUGCAUUCCUCUUUAAUAGAGUGCUACCUUUUAUUAUUAAAACAUAGAUAUAGGAAGAUGUGGCAUGAGUGUCAAUGAGACAACUCUCUAUCCAAAUAAAAAUCUAUAAAAGUAAACCAUUAUAGGUCAAUGUACGGCCUUCAACACGGAGCCUUGGCUAUAAGCUAUAAAGGGCUUGAAAUUGUUGCAGUCCCUACACAUAACCUUUUGAUACCACUAGACAAUAGAACCAGACAUAGCAAUCCGCACUCAUUUAGGCAAAUACAAACAUCUAAAGACAGUUAUAAAUAUUCUUUUUAUCCACGAACAAUUAUAAAUUGGAACUAUCUGCCACAACAAAUAGUAUCAUGCAGUACAGUAGAGGGAUUUAAGAGUAUGAUCACAGAAUCUGCUCUCAUCCCCAUAUUCUAUCCCUAACUAUUCUGUUAUCAAAUGUAUAUAGUUUUAUCAAAAUUUAUUUUUCUGAAUGUACAUACGUUAUUUUUUUUUUCUUGAUAUUGUUAUUUUUGAUUUUUUUUUUUUCCCUGCUAAAAUGUAAAUUAUAAAUUUUAUAGUCGACGCCCGGCGAAUAAUCUUCAAUAAUUGAAGGAUCGCUAGAAACCUAAAGAAGAAGAAGAAGAGGGCCCCAAAAUUACUAGACGUGCAAAACCAUUCAAACGGGACAGCCAAAUGUCUAAUUGAUAUUUAAAAAAACCGAGAAACGAGAAACACGUAUAAAUUACAUAAACAAACGACAACUACUGUACAUCAGAUUUCUGACUUAGGAUAGGUGCAAACAUUUGCAGCGGGAUUAAACGUUUUAAUGGUACCAAACCUCUCCCUUUUUCUGAAACAAUAGUAUAACAUGUAUAACAUCACAAAAUAGAAAAACACACGAUAAAAUAUCAAUUGGAAGGCUUUAAAGUUAACUCAAUCAAAAAACGUAAUUUAACACACUAUGAAUGCAUACAUAAAAUUUCUUGUAAAUUCCCUUCCCUGACUCACUGUGAGACUAAAUGAUGUAUGAAUUAACACGAUUGACGUAUAUGUAAAAGUCAAUUAUUAUUCUCUCCAUCUUGUAUGGGAAAGGAUUUAUACAGGCUGAGCCUUUUUUCAAGUCCCUUUGUUUGAAUGCUUAAACAAUAAAUUCUUUGAAUUGAAUCGAACUAUAUGUCACCCUACGGCCUUCAAUAAUGUUUUUCUCACGCAUUUUCCAGUCCAAAGGUCACGUUCCUGUGGGUUAAGCUUAAUCUAAUCUGAUGUUUGUUAGCUUCAGAAUUUACAUUGCUCUGAUUAAAAAUAAAACAAAAACAACACUGUCAGUAUCGGACUACCAAUUCAGGACUAAAAGGGAGAAAGAAAUACAUGUUGAAGGGAAAAAACUAUCGUAAUAGUUGUCAGGGUUGGUUUUUUUUCUCUCAAGCCAAUUCAAAAAGAAGAAAGCAGAGGCGGAUUUAGAGGGGGGCCCAGGGGGCCCGGCCCCCCCCCCCCUUUUUGGGAAAAAAUUUGGUUGCUUAUAUAGGGAAUCACUGAAGUGUGACUGGAGCGGGCCCCCUCUUAAAAUUUCUGGAUCCGCCACUGGAAAGUUCAUCCCGGCAGUUUUAUAGCUAUAUUGAUUUGCAAGAUAAGAUAUUGAAAUGUCAAUAUAUGAUAUCUUGACCAUUUCUAAUUUAUUUUUAAAUUAUUUGGUAGGACAUUGUGCAACCUUGAAAUUAAAAGUUACUGUUAUAAUUUUCACGUGCACAGAUUAUUCCGACUGCAUGAAAGUAGUGGGUUUAACCAAAUUAAAAAAAAACUACCAACAUAUGAACGUAUGAUCUUGUUAUCAAAUUUCGAAGAUAAAUGAAGUUAAUAAAAACUUUAGUCAAUAAAUGUUAACAUAGAAAAAAGUGCUUUAGUUUAAAAUCUUGGAUUAUUCGUCCACUAGAGAAAAAUAAAUAAACAACAGAAUUCCCCUAAAUAUUAUGUGAACUAUCCAAAAUAAGAAACAUAACAAUCUUAUUCUUUCGGUCUUAACUAAAACGAAAGCAGCAUGAAAGCAAUCGCGGAUUCAGAAAAAUUGAAAAGGGAAGUAGGGUGAUUCUUCGUAUUCCUAAUUUCGACAUUUUUCAAAAUCAUUGAAAAACAGAGAUAGCCUUAUUGUGAUGUUUCUACAAUAGCAGUUUCAAAACACAGAACAAGUCUCUUUUGUUGGCAGUCUUUCAACAAAUUCAAGAAAUCUGCAUGUUUGUGACUAUAUAUAUAUUUUUCUAAAAUCUCAUCUACGUAUGAUACCACUAAUGAUUUGCAAUAAUCAAAUCGAAAAUGGUAUUUUAUACCAAGUUUUCAGCGGUAAUGUUGUUUACAAAGCAAAUAAGUUUUAAGAAAUACCCGUCAAGUCUCAUUUUGGCUAAUUGUAAAACGCAUUUACAAUUAUAUCAUCGUUAUGCACAUAUGAUCACAUAUUGUUCUCUUAUUGUAAUGUUUCUUACUUGGUGUGUUCUCUUAUUCCUGUGGUCGAAGCUUCAAUUUUCAUAAAACUAUAGUUUAACCUUUGUCAUGUAAAUGCACCUGAGCUGACAUACACAAGUAAGGAGCAUUGUCAGCGGCUCUUGUCUUGAACAUACAUGAAAUAUUUGCGACUGGAAGUUAAUCAACCACACAAUCAAUCAAUCGUCUGCGGAUUUCUAUGUUGACGAUAACAUAUCUAUAUUAGUCUAUUUUAAAAUCAUUCGCUUCUCUUAGACUUUAAAAUUGAGAAUGGAAAUGGGGAAUGUGCCAAAGAGACAACAACCCGACCAUAGAAAAAAACACAACAGCAGAAGGUCACCAACAGGUCUUCAAUGUAGCGAGAAAUUCCCGCACCCGGAGGCGUCCUUCAGCUGGCCCCUAAACAAACAUAUACUAGUUCAGUGAUAAUGAACGCCAUACUAAUUUCCAAAUUGUACACAAGAAACUAAAAUUAAAAUAAUACAAGACUAACAAAGGCCAGAGGCUCCUGACUUGGGACAGGCGCAAAAAUGCGGCGGGGUUAAACAUGUUUGUGAGAUCUCAACCCUCCCCCUAUACCUCUAGCCAAUGUAGAAAAGUAAACGCAUAACAAUACGCACAUUAAAAUUCAGUUCAAGAGAAGUCCGAGUCUUUAACCAUUUGUGAUAUGGAUUCAAAUAUCUGUUUGAAUAUUAUAGGUUUUUUUUUCCUUUUUUAUUUUCGAUUUUCUGUUUUGGUUAUUUUGUUUCAUUGACAUUAUCAUUUAUAUACACUACACUCCUCUCUUUAUGAUCAGAAGAUAUAUAUACACUACACUUCUCUAGAUAUAAUAUCGUUAUAUUCCACUAAUAAAUGAAAUAUGUUGUUUUAAUGUAUGUACAAUUUAUAUCGAUAUCAGUGAAGAUCUUUUCUUUUACAGUAGUCUGAAAUAAAUCAAACUGUCGACUUGUGUUCGAGAUGUAAACCCUAACACAUACACAAACUUAGUACAAAUGGUGACUCUACCCAGUAUGUUGCAGGCGCCUCUGCAGGCUUUACUUCGACCUGCGAUGUGGAUUCCAGGCAUAAAAAAUAUACACAGCCAUUUUGUGACGUGAGUUAAGUAAUAUUGUAAAGACUUUUUGCCUAAACGUUCAAAUCAUACCUUGC
rnacentral:lncRNA from 1 species